rnacentral:rRNA from 1 species
AUUGAACGCUGGCGGCAUGCCUUACACAUGCAAGUCGAACGGCAGCACGGGGGCAACCCUGGUGGCGAGUGGCGAACGGGUGAGUAAUGCAUCGGAACGUGCCCAGUAGUGGGGGAUAACUAGUCGAAAGAUUAGCUAAUACCGCAUACGACCUAUGGGUGAAAGCGGGGGAUGCAGCACUUAAUGUUUUGGGAUGGCUACUUGUGGCCGCCUCGGGACAGUCUCAGGUUGAGAACAUUAAGUGCUGCACCUCGCGCUAUCGGAGCGGCCGAUGUCUGAUUAGCUAGGUUGGGACGGGUAAAAGCCCACCAAGGCGACGAUCAGUAGCUGGUCUGAGAGGACGACCAGCCACGC